CAGGCUGUUGCUAACUAUCAGGCAGUGCUGUUGCUGACUAUCAGGCAGGCUGUUGUUAACUAUCAGGCAGGCUGUUGCUGACUAUCAGGCAGGCUGUUGUUAACUAUCAGGCAGUGUGGCAGGCUGUUGUUAACUAUCAGGCAGUGUGGCAGGCUGUUGUUAACUAUCAGACAGUGUGGCAGGCUGUUGCUAACUAUCAGGCAGUUUGGCAGGCUGUUGUUAACUAUCAGGCAGUGUGGCAGGCUGUUGCUGACUAUCAGGCUGCUGUUAACUAUCAGGCAGUGUGGCAGGCUGUUGCUGACUAUCAGGCUGUUGUUAACUAUCAGGCAGUGUGGCAGGCUGUUGUUAACUAUCAGGCAGUGUGGCAGGCUGUUGUUAACUAUCAGGCAGUGUGGCAGGCUGUUGUUAACUAUCAGGCUGU
ensembl:lncRNA